rnacentral:rRNA from 1 species
CACCAGAAAAUUAAGUUAUACUUAAACAGUAAAAAGGCAGUUAAACUAAAUAUUUAGACUUAUUAACCAUCUAUACAGGGGUAAAAUGUAAAUAUAGACAUGAAAACUAAAUAUAGUUUACGUUGUUGAAGCUGCGAUAGCCUUGAGGGAAACUGGGAUCGGAUACCCCAUUAUUCUUGGCUGUAAACCCUAUAAAAAUUUACUAGAGUACUAUGAAUAUCAAAAUUUAAAACUCAAAGGGCUUGGCGGUAUUUUAGACCAAUCAGGGGAACCUGUCUCGUAAUCGACAAUCCACGUUAAACCUGACCUCCUUUUGUUAACAGCUUGUAUACCGUCGUCAUCAGGUAACUUCUAAAAAACUAAAAGUUAGCUAAGAAAUGUCAUGGUUAUAAUGUCAGAUCAAGGUGCAGCUAAUAGGGAGGAGAAGAUGGGUUACAGUUAUCUAAUUAUAACUAACGAAUAGCUAUAAUAAUAAGUAGUUACGAAGGAGGACUUGAAAGUAAAUUAGAUUAUAAAAAUAAUUUGAAUAAGGCUCUGAAAUGUGC